UAUAAGAUGCCUGAUAAAAGGGCUAUUUUGAUAGAAUAGAUAAUGUAGAAAAUCUACUCUUGUUA
rnacentral:tRNA from 1 species